rnacentral:tRNA from 1 species
AUAAAAGUAAGCUAUUUAAGCUCUUGGGCUCAUACCCCAAUUAAGGUUAUUCCCUUUUAUU